CCUACGGGUGGCAGCAGUGAGGAAUAUUGGUCAAUGGGCGUAAGCCUGAACCAGCCAAGUCGCGUGAGGGAUGAAGGUUCUAUGGAUCGUAAACCUCUUUUAUAAGGGAAUAAAUUGUUGGACGUGUCCUGUUUUGUAUGUACCUUAUGAAUAAGGAUCGGCUAACUCCGUGCCAGCAGCCGCGGUAAUACGGAGGAUCCGAGCGUUAUCCGGAUUUAUUGGGUUUAAAGGGUGCGUAGGCGGCCUUUUAAGUUAGCGGUGAAAGUCUGUGGCUCAACCAUAGUAUUGCCGUUGAAACUGGGAGGCUUGAGUAUGUUUGAGGCAGGCGGAAUGCGUGGUGUAGCGGUGAAAUGCUUAGAUAUCACGAAGAACCCCGAUUGCGAAGGCAGCCUGCCAAGCCAUGACUGACGCUGAUGCACGAAAGCGUGGGGAUCAAACAGGAUUAGAUACCCCUGUAGUC
rnacentral:rRNA from 1 species